ACCUACGGGCGGCUGCAGUCGAGAAUUUUUGACAAUGGGGGAAACCCUGAUCGAGCGACGCCGCGUGGAGGAUGAAGGUCUUCGGGUUGUAAACUCCUGUCAUUUGGGAACAAGGUGCAUAUUAACUGUGUACAUUGAUAGUACCAGAAGAGGAAGAGACGGCUAACUCUGUGCCAGCAGCCGCGGUAAUACAGAGGUCUCAAGCGUUGUUCGGAUUCAUUGGGCGUAAAGGGUGUGUAGGGGGCGCGCUAAGUCUGAUGUGAAAUUUCGGAGCUUAACUCCGAAACUGCAUUCGAUACUGGCGUGCUCGAGGACUGGAGAGGAGACUGGAAUUUACGGUGUAGCAGUGAAAUGCGUAGAUAUCGUAAGGAAGACCAGUGGCGAAGGCGGGUCUCUGGACAGUUCCUGACACUGAGGCACGAAGGUCAGGGGAGCAAACGGGAUUAGAUACCCUAGUAGUCC
rnacentral:rRNA from 1 species